rnacentral:rRNA from 1 species
GACGAACGCUGGCGGCGUGCUUAACACAUGCAAGUCGAACGGAAAGGCCCUGCUUUUGUGGGGUGCUCGAGUGGCGAACGGGUGAGUAACACGUGAGUAACCUGCCCUUGACUUUGGGAUAACUUCAGGAAACUGGGGCUAAUACCGGAUAGGAGCUCCUGCUGCAUGGUGGGGGUUGGAAAGUUUCGGCGGUUGGGGAUGGACUCGCGGCUUAUCAGCUUGUUGGUGGGGUAGUGGCUUACCAAGGCUUUGACGGGUAGCCGGCCUGAGAGGGUGACCGGCCACAUGGGGACUGAGAUACGGCCCAGACUCCUACGGGAGGCAGCAGUGGGGAAUAUUGCACAAUGGGCGGAAGCCUGAUGCAGCAACGCCGCGUGCGGGAUGACGGCCUUCGGGUUGUAAACCGCUUUCGCCUGUGAUGAAGCGUGAGUGACGGUAAUGGGUAAAGAAGCACCGGCUAACUACGUG